AUUGAACGCUGGCGGCAUGCUUUACACAUGCAAGUCGAACGGUAACAGGCCUUCGGGUGCUGACGAGUGGCGAACGGGUGAGUAAUGCAUCGGAACGUACCCAGAGGUGGGGGAUAACGCAGCGAAAGCUGUGCUAAUACCGCAUGUGAUCUGAGGAUGAAAGCGGGGGACCGCGCAGCAAUGUUUGGCCUCGCGCCUUUGGAGCGGCCGAUGUCGGAUUAGCUAGUUGGUGGGGUAAAGGCCUACCAAGGCGACGAUCCGUAGCUGGGCUGAGAGGACGACCAGCCACACUGGGACUGAGACACGGCCCAGACUCCUACGGGAGGCAGCAGUGGGGAAUUUUGGACAAUGGGCGCAAGCCUGAUCCAGCAAUGCCGCGUGCGGGAAGAAGGCCUUCGGGUUGUAAACCGCUUUUGGCAGGAACGAAACGGUGUCCGCUAAUACCGGGCGCUAAUGACGGUACCUGCAGAAUAAGCACCGGCUAACUACGUG
rnacentral:rRNA from 1 species